rnacentral:rRNA from 1 species
GUGGGGAAUAUUGGACAAUGGGCGAAAGCCUGAUCCAGCCAUGCCGCGUGAGUGAUGAAGGCCUUAGGGUUGUAAAGCUCUUUCGCCGAGGACGAUAAUGACGGUACUCGGAUAAGAAGCCCCGGCUAACUUCGUGCCAGCAGCCGCGGUAAUACGAAGGGGGCUAGCGUUGUUCGGAAUUACUGGGCGUAAAGCGUAUGUAGGCGGGUCGUUAAGUUAGGGGUGAAAUCCCAAGGCUCAACCUUGGAACUGCCCUUGAUACUGGCGAUCUUGAGUCCGGGAGAGGUGAGUGGAACUGCGAGUGUAGAGGUGAAAUUCGUAGAUAUUCGCAAGAACACCAGUGGCGAAGGCGGCUCACUGGCCCGGUACUGACGCUGAGAUACGAAAGCGUGGGGAGCAAACAGGAUUAGAAACCCGAGUAGUCC